UUUUCUAUGACGUCACAUUUUGAGGGACCAUGCAUAAGUGACCCUUAGUGGUGGACUGAUUAAUAAAGAUACUUGUAUAAAACUAGAUAUCACUGGAAUCAGAAUGUUCUCUAGUUUAUAAUGAAAUAAAAAUAAUGUGUACUUUUAAUAUAUUAAAAAUAUUCCAUCCAAUGAACAUGGGGAAAAAAAGGUCUAAUUUGAACAUAAAAAACUUGAAACCAGGUCAUGUGCACACCCAUGAAGACAUGAUCCAUGCACAUUUUACAUAAUCAAAACUGUAUGAAAUUUGUAGGUUUUUACCUGGCCUUUCAAAAAAAUCUUGUUUCAGGGUACGGUUUCCUGCUCCGAAAAGAGCUACAGUGGCUGCAAAUAAGUUUUCAAUUUUCACUGCCAAAAAACAGGAUGUUUACAGUGUUGUCUCCCCUCAAAACAUGUAAAGUUAAUAUAAUUUUUAAAAUUAUUUCAAUCAUUCAACCUGUUUUAAUUGAAAGCUAAUUAACUAAUUUUUACAAUCAAAUACAAAAAACAUGAUACUUUUUCACCAAUUGAGUAAAUAAACAGGGGUUUCCCUCCAUGGUUAUUUUUAGUCGGGGAAUAACCCCUAGUUUUUUAUACGAAACUGUUUAUAGCACCCUUAAGGC
rnacentral:lncRNA from 1 species